GGCAGACAAACCAUGUAUAUACUGCAGACAAGUGACAUAGAUUGGAAACAUUAGCCAUGAAUAACAAAUUGAACAAAAGGGAAGUAGUGUAAGAAGAAAGAAGAUACCAUAAAAGCAAAAAACCAUGUAAGUAGUGAACGUGCAUUAAUGACUUAAAAACAAAAAAAAAUAAAUAUGAAAACAAAAGAUCGAAUAUCUUGUUGAAAAC
rnacentral:misc_RNA from 1 species